GGCUGGUUAGCUCAGUUGGUUAGAGCGUGGUGCUAAUAACGCCGAGGUCGCGGGUCCAACCCCCGUACUGGCAA
rnacentral:tRNA from 1 species